rnacentral:rRNA from 1 species
AUUGAACGCUGGCGGCAUGCCUUACACAUGCAAGUCGAACGGCAGCACGGACCUCGGUCUGGUGGCGAGUGGCGAACGGGUGAGUGAAGUAUCGGAACGUACCUUUCAGUGGGGGAUAACGUAGCGAAAGUUACGCUAAUACCGCAUAUUCUGUGCGCAGGAAAGCAGGGGAUCGCAAGACCUUGCGCUGAUUGAGCGGCCGAUACCAGAUUAGCUAGUGGGUGGGGUAAAGGCCUACCAAGGCGACGAUCUGUAGCGGGUCUGAGAGGAUGGUCCGCGACACUGGAACUGAGGCACGGUCCAGACUCCUACGGGAGGCAGCAGUGGGGAAUUUUGGACGAUGGGGGCAACCCUGAUCCAGCCAUGCCGCGUGGGUGAAGAAGGCCUUCGGGUUGUAAAGCUCUUUCGGCCGGGAAGAAAUCGUACGGGUUAAUACCCUGUGCGGAUGACGGUACCGGCAUAAGAAGCACCGGCUAACUACGUGCCAGCCGCCGCAGUAACAC